AUAUAAAAGAAGCUAAAUUCUAGCUUCCUAAGGCUAUCCACAUGGACAAAAUAAUCAGGACCAACCAAUAUGCCAGGUCAUAACGAAGUGGGCUUGAAAUUAAAAAAAAAACGAAAUCAUCACGGCCCAGUCCAUAGCCUCAUCUCCCUGCCUCUCUUCAUAUGUAUUUUGUGUCACAGCCCAUUAAGCCCAACUCCCAGACAAAUCCAGAUACACUCUUACGGUUCGGGUUAUAUCGGCCCUUCCUCUGAAAUCAUCAUCCCUAACCCUAAGCGGCGUCUCGCUCUGUUUCGCGAUUCUCUUCCUCUCCCCCAACUCAUCCCCCAUAACGCCUCCGAUGAGAGUGAUGGUACUUCAAUGUGCUCUCAUAAAUCCUCCAUUCAUGAUCCCCACAGACCUUCCACAUACCCUCUCUGUAUCCAUACCCGUACCUCAGAUCUUAAAAUCCAAACCCUCAGAUGUUAAUUAAAUGUUUAAACUUACUUAAUAUUUUAAAACAAAAAAAAACUGAUAUUAAAUUAUUUGACAUCUUAUUAUGGAAAUUCACAUAUAUUAAAACAAGGAAAGUCAUACUCUCGAAUUAUUUGACAUCUUAUUAGUUUUUAUUUGUUAUAAUCAUAACUUAAUUUAUUAGUAAUAUUUUUCUUACCAAUAUCAGAGUCAUCAAGUUCGAACACAACGAAACGUAAACGCGGACGUCCACUAGGAGUACGGAAUAAAGUGAAAGGUAUACACAAAAUUAAAUCACUUAAUCCAGCAAUGUUCUAUAUUUUUCAAUUAUUAAAAGCCCAAAUAUAAUAGAGACAUGUCUCGACUACUUGCUCCAACAAAAUAAUUUCAUUUACUUAUUCUACUUAUUCCCGAACAGCUCCAUCUGCGGCAAUUUCCAAUCAGGCUAUGUUACGCAAUGACAAUUAACAAAAGUCAGGGUCAAAGUUUGAAAGGUGCCGUACUGUAUUUGUCACAGCCCGUUUUCACCCAUGGACAGUUCUAUGUUGGUCUUUCCUGAGUUACUACCAAGUCAGGCCUCAAAAUUAUACAAGGAAAGGAUCAAAAGAUAGGAAGGGUUAAAAACAUUGUCUACAAAUAAAUAUACAACGGUCUAUCGCACCUACCAGAAUCACGAUCCGAUGAUCACCCAGAGCAGACUUCCCGGAAUCUUAAACAACUUUCUAUACCAUAAGAUGCAAACUACCAGUCCGCCCGCAAUAGAAAGUGGCCGCUCUACAAGAUCAUUCAUAAUAUACCUCACAUACAUCGUUUACGUCUUAUCUUAUUUUAAUUCUUUUUCGUUAUCUACUGGAUUCUAUUCCCUUUGGACAAUUACUUAUUUCUACUGUCAAACUAUUUUGUUUCUACGUCUUCACAUCCAAAAAAACAAAACUUAACUCACACUUUCAAAAACUAAAACUCCAAAUUUUAAUAAAACAUUACUUUAAUUACAUAUGUAAUCCGCGCGAAGCGCGGACA